UACGUAGGUGGCAAGCGUUGUCCGGAAUUAUUGGGCGUAAAGCGCGCGCAGGCGGCCUUUUAAGUCUGAUGUGAAAGCCCACGGCUCAACCGUGGAAGGUCAUUGGAAACUGAAAAGGCUUGAGUACAGAAGAGGAAAGCGGAAUCCACGUGUAGCGGUGAAAUGCGUAGAGAUGUGGAGGAACACCAGUGGCGAAGGCGGCGAUCGCUGGGCAGACACUGACGCUGAGGCACGAAGGCGUGGGGAGCGAACGGG
rnacentral:rRNA from 1 species